CCUCCCAAAGAAAGUGGAAGCGUCCUUUGGUAGCCACCCAUCAGUCUCUCACUGGGUAAAUGACUUGCUUAGGGCGGGGAGAACCAGAUCAAGAACCAGAGUAAGGGAGCCUUGGUCCUUACUUCCUGGUCCUCGCGUAGACAAGGCAAAGCUGAGGGGCGGAGCCAACCCUGAGGUGGGCUACGUACACAAUCCUUCCGACCUGGGAAACGCGUCUCGCCACAGAUUUGUCUUCCAUACUCUGCUUCACCACCACCUGGUCCCACAAGGCAUAUACCUUCGGUUCAAAUCAACGUCCCCCACACUUUCCACUGCAAAGGUGGAUUCCUGCUAGAGAUGCCUGGAACUGGCAGUGCAGCAGCUCAAGAAUCCAGAAUGGAAGCUGACUUCACUCACUAUUCCAUCUUUCUUUCUCCAAGGCAGCAAACUCUAUGCCUCCUCCCCAGAGAAAAGCCUAACCACAGGUCCUAACGGACCAGAGCUCACUGUAGCUGAUCAGAAAGGCCUAUAUGCAGAAGUCCCAGUAUCACCACUCAGCUUCCUAACUAGGGAAAACAGCUAGGCCCCUUUGGGUCUUAGAUAGGAUAAGGGCAGAGAUCUGAACAUGCCUGGGCUAAGUGACGUGUGGGAAAACAGCGGCAGAGGGCGGCAGGGUGGAGCAGAAAAGGGCCAUAACUUUAUUUGUAUUUCCUCUUACACAAAACCAUCAAAACAAAAACAGAGAAGUCUGAGAAAGGGCUGAAAAUUUGUUCCAACCACAUGUUCUCUGGACUAUUCCAGGAGCUCUUGAGGCUGAGUGCGUUGCUUGAGAUCCAGCACUAAAUCCUCACACCCUGGCCUGAGGUCUUCACAGUGGAAGAAAAUAGUUGAAGCAAAUACAGAAAAAGAAGAGGACUAAAGACUACCACUUCAUUCCAAAAGAGUGGUUUUUUUACCUCAGGAUCACGGUCCUUUUCCCGACAGGCUCGGACCUCAUUGUACAGCUUGGAGGAGGAGAUGGGAGCCAGGAAGGAGGUGUACUCCCCAGGAAUGCUCACGCCAUCAUCUGCAGAGUAGGAAGGUCAAAUUAGUUCCCGAGGGAGGGAAAUAUUGUAUCUGUACAAAAUGAAGGCUCAACUCUCCCAUGUCAAAAUAGACCAAGGCACAUGCACCACCGA